rnacentral:rRNA from 1 species
AAUUCAUCUCCGGGGGUAGAGCACUGUUUCGGCUAGGGGGCCAUCCCGGCUUACCAACCCGAUGCAAACUGCGAAUACCGGAGAAUGUUAUCACGGGAGACACACGGCGGGUGCUAACGUCCGUCGUGAAGAGGGAAACAACCCAGACCGCCAGCUAAGGUCCCAAAGUCAUGGUUAAGUGGGAAACGAUGUGGGAAGGCCCAGACAGCCAGGAUGUUGGCUUAGAAGCAGCCAUCAUUUAAAGAAAGCGUAAUAGCUCACUGGUCGAGUCGGCCUGCGCGGAAGAUGUAACGGGGCUAAACCAUGCACCGAAGCUGCGGCAGCGACACUGUGUGUUGUUGGGUAGGGGAGCGUUCUGUAAGCCUGUGAAGGUGUGUCGUGAGGCAUGCUGGAGGUAUCAGAAGUGCGAAUGCUGACAUAAGUAACGAUAAAGCGGGUGAAAAGCCCGCUCGCCGGAAGACCAAGGGUUCCUGUCCAACGUUAAUCGGGGCAGGGUGAGUCGACCCCUAAGGCGAGGCCGAAAGGCGUAGUCGAUGGGAAACGGGUUAAUAUUCCCGUACUUGGUGUUACUGCGAAGGGGGGACGGAGAAGGCUAUGUUGGCCGGGCGACGGUUGUCCCGGUUUAAGCGUGUAGGUGUGUGUUCCAGGUAAAUCCGGUUCACUUUAACACUGAGGCGUGACGACGAGGCACUACGGUGCUGAAGCAACAAAUGCCCUGCUUCCAGGAAAAGCCUCUAAGCAUCAGGUAACAUCAAAUCGUACCCCAAACCGACACAGGUGGUCAGGUAGAGAAUACCAAGGCGCUUGAGAGAACUCGGGUGAAGGAACUAGGCAAAAUGGUGCCGUAACUUCGGGAGAAGGCACGCUGACACGUAGGUGAAGUGAUUUACUCAUGGAGCUGAAGUCAGUCGAAGAUACCAGCUGGCUGCAACUGUUUAUUAAAAACACAGCACUGUGCAAACACGAAAGUGGACGUAUACGGUGUGACGCCUGCCCGGUGCCGGAAGGUUAAUUGAUGGGGUCAGCGCAAGCGAAGCUCCUGAUCGAAGCCCCGGUAAACGGCGGCCGUAACUAUAACGGUCCUAAGGUAGCGAAAUUCCUUGUCGGGUAAGUUCCGACCUGCACGAAUGGCGUAAUGAUGGCCAGGCUGUCUCCACCCGAGACUCAGUGAAAUUGAACUCGCUGUGAAGAUGCAGUGUACCCGCGGCAAGACGGAAAGACCCCGUGAACCUUUACUAUAGCUUGACACUGAACAUUGAGCCUUGAUGUGUAGGAUAGGUGGGAGGCUUUGAAGUGUGGACGCCAGUCUGCAUGGAGCCGACCUUGAAAUACCACCCUUUAAUGUUUGAUGUUCUAACGUGGACCCGUUACCCGGGUUGCGGACAGUGUCUGGUGGGUAGUUUGACUGGGGCGGUCUCCUCCUAAAGAGUAACGGAGGAGCACG